UUCCGUCCCUGGCAUGAGAUGCCACUUUGACCAGAUGCUAAGUCCCUGUAGGAACUUCCAGACUCUUUCCUCUGCCGGAGGGAUGCAACUCCUAAAGCUGUACCAUUUGUUUCAGUGUCUGCUUUCUCCUAGGCUGUAAACCUGCAUGACGAAUUCCAGCCCAGAGCAACAUUUUAUGAUCCAGUGUCAAGUUCUUAAAAAAUGAAAAAUGAGAGGAAAGAGAGGUUUAACUGUAACAUGGAUACAUUUUGGACUGGAUGUUAACCACUUGAAUAAGAGUUCCAGACAUUGCUGGAAGCAGAUAUGGACAAGAUGGUACCCACACUGGUUCUGGUACCCAUGGCCCAUUUACCCAGAGGGGAAAUUAUCCCUGUGGCUUGCUGGCCUAGCACUUAGACCACCAAACAAGGACUCCACCACUCUGCUUGAGAAAUAAGCUCUUCAUACUAACUGUUCUCAGUACCAUUCUGAAAGGUCUUUGUCUUAUCAAUGCAAAGCUGGCAUAAGGAUCUUACUGCUGCAGUUCACAGCCUCUUUGUUAGUCAAUAAGACCUAAAAUAAACUUUUUUACGUAGGUAUAAAUAUGGGUUUGCUUCAAGGGUUCCAAAAUACUCGCUACCAACCAAACUCCCUGAACUUUCAGUUUCCUACUAAAGCUAUGUAAAGUGAGCUGCCUCAGAGCCACUAGUUGAAACUUAUAAAUGGACUGAUUCUUCUAGUAUUGUGCUUCAUCAAUUACCAGCAGCAGCAUUUCUUGUCCACUGACCAGAGAAGUUGGGGCUAUAGAUGAGAGCUGUAUCUGGCAUUCUAUAUGGCUUCCUAUCAGCUCACUCUUGAGACCUUGCAUAUAGCAGAGAAUGCUCUUUUCUAUAUAGAAGAUUGCUAUUUUCACUUACUAUUGUGCCAAGCAUGCAUUUUACCUGCAUUAUCUCAUUUCAUCCUCAGGUACAAAGAAGUUAAAAUGGUCCGGAAGAGGUCAUUAGAGACCAGAGAAAUCGGACUUGGUGUCAGAGUCAUCUGAUACCGGAUCUCUUAUUCUCAACCACUCCAUUUAUGCUGCUUCUCUAAGAAUGGCUUCUUUGUAAUUAAAAUUACUUAAUUACAAAGGAUUUAUAAAGGAUUUAAAAAAAUAUUUUAGAAGAAUGAAUUCUAAGACACAAAGACUAAUUCUUGAUCAAAAUGGAAGCUUUUUAUUAGUGCACCAAAGACAGAGCUAGAGAUCACAGGCACGUACCUUUACUUCUAAUUUGUAAGGUGGUGCACAGUAGCAGAAUAUAUGGUGAUAAAAGUAUAUUUUUGCCUUUGUGGACAUUUAGCCCAUCAUCCCACCACGUAAUUGUAUGAAUAUUCUGCAGUGUCCUUCAGUUUCCCCACCAUAGUCAAAAGGUCCUGUGCAGCUAUUUGAGCGUAUGCGAUGAGGUCUAUUUUGAAUAAAGAGUGACUAUGGCUUUCAUUUUUCCCUGUGACAUACAAACGUGAAUCAAUAAAGGUUCCUCUUGAA